rnacentral:rRNA from 1 species
UGGGGAAUAUUGCGCAAUGGGGGGAACCCUGACGCAGCCGUGCCGCGUGAAUGAAGAAGGCCUUAGGGUUGUAAAGUUCUUUCGGUAUUGAGGAAGGUUGAUGUGUUAAUAGCACAUCAAAUUGACGUUAAAUACAGAAGAAGCACCGGCUAACUCCGUGCCAGCAGCCGCGGUAAUACGGAGGGUGCGAGCGUUAAUCGGAAUAACUGGGCGUAAAGGGCACGCAGGCGGUUAUUUAAGUGAGGUGUGAAAGCCCCGGGCUUAACCUGGGAAUUGCAUUUCAGACUGGGUAACUAGAGUACUUUAGGGAGGGGUAGAAUUCCACGUGUAGCGGUGAAAUGCGUAGAGAUGUGGAGGAAUACCGAAGGCGAAGGCAGCCCCUUGGGAAUGUACUGACGCUCAUGUGCGAAAGCGUGGGGAGCAAACAGGAUUAGAUACCCUGGUAGUCCACGCUGUAAACGCUGUCGAUUUGGGGGUUGGGGUUUAACUCUGGCGCCCGUAGCUAACGUGAUAAAUCGACCGCCUGGGGAGUACGGCCGCAAGGUUA